GAGGAUAUAGUUUGGUGGUAGAGUGUGUGUUUAGCAUGCACAAAUUCCUGGGUUAAAUCCCCAGUAAUCACA
rnacentral:tRNA from 1 species